rnacentral:rRNA from 1 species
UACGUAGGGUGCAAGCGUUGUCCGGAAUUAUUGGGCGUAAAGAGCUCGUAGGCGGUUUGUCGCGUCUGCUGUGAAAACUCGGGGCUUAACCCCGGGCCUGCAUUCGAUACGGGCAGACUAGAGUUCGGUAGGGGAGUCUGGAAUUCCUGGUGUAGCGGUGAAAUGCGCAGAUAUCAGGAGGAACACCGGUGGCGAAGGCGGGACUCUGGGCCGAUACUGACGCUGGAGGAGCGAAAGCGUGGGGAGCAAACAGG